AACGAACGCUGGCGGCAUGCCUAACACAUGCAAGUCGAACGAGAUCUUCGGGUCUAGUGGCGCACGGGUGCGUAACGCGUGGGAAUCUGCCCUUUGGUUCGGAAUCAAAGUUGGAAACGACUGCUAAUACCGGAUGAUGACGAAAGUCCAAAGAUUUAUCGCCAGAGGAUGAGCCCGCGUAGGAUUAGCUAGUUGGUGUGGUAAAGGCGCACCAAGGCGACGAUCCUUAGCUGGUCUGAGAGGAUGAUCAGCCACACUGGGACUGAGACACGGCCCAGACUCCUACAGGAGGCAGCAGUGGAGAAUAUUGGACAAUGGGCGAAAGCCUGAUCCAGCAAUGCCGCGUGAAUGAUGAAGGCCUUAGGGUUGUAAAGCUCUUUUACCCGGGAUGAUAAUGACAGUACCGGGAGAAUAAGCUCCGGCUAACUCCGUGCCAGCCGCCGCCGUAA
rnacentral:rRNA from 1 species